rnacentral:rRNA from 1 species
AUUGAACGCUGGCGGCAUGCCUUACACAUGCAAGUCGAACGGCAGCAUAGAGAGCUUGCUCUCUGAUGGCGAGUGGCGAACGGGUGAGUAAAGCAUCGGAACGUACCGUGUAGUGGGGGAUAACGUAGCGAAAGUUACGCUAAUACCGCAUACGCACUGAGGUGGAAAGCAGGGGAUCGCAAGACCUUGCGCUAUACGAGCGGCCGAUGUCAGCAUUAGCUAGUUGGUAGGGUAAAGGCCUACCAAGGCGACGAUCUGUAGCGGGUCUGAGAGGAUGAUCCGCCACACUGGGACUGAGACACGGCCCAGACUCCUACGGGGGGCAGCAGUGGGGAAUUUUGGACAAUGGGGGCAACCCUGAUCCAGCCAUGCCGCGUGAGUGAAGAAGGCCUUCGGGUUGUAAAGCUCUUUCGGCCGGGAAGAAAUCGCACAGGCUAAUACUCUGUGUGGAUGACGGUACCGGCAUAAGAAGCACCGGCUAACUACGUGCCAGCCGCCGCCGUAA